UACGGAGGGGGCUAGCGUUGUUCGGAAUUACUGGGCGUAAAGCGCACGUAGGCGGCUUUGUAAGUUAGAGGUGAAAGCCCCGGGGCUCAACUCCGGAAUUGCCUUUAAGACUGCAUCGCUAGAAUUGUGGAGAGGUAAGUGGAAUUCCGAGUGUAGAGGUGAAAUUCGUAGAUAUUCGGAAGAACACCAGUGGCGAAGGCGGCGACCUGGACGGACACUGACGCUGAGACGCGAAAGCGUGGGGAGCAAACAGG
rnacentral:rRNA from 1 species